rnacentral:rRNA from 1 species
UACGUAGGGUGCGAGCGUUGUCCGGAAUUACUGGGCGUAAAGCGCACGUAGGCGGCUUUGUAAGUUAGAGGUGAAAGCCCGGGGCUCAACCCCGGAAUUGCCUUUAAGACUGCAUCGCUUGAAUCCGGGAGAGGUGAGUGGAAUUCCGAGUGUAGAGGUGAAAUUCGUAGAUAUUCGGAAGAACACCAGUGGCGAAGGCGGCUCACUGGACCGGUAUUGACGCUGAGGUGCGAAAGCGUGGGGAGCAAACAGG